rnacentral:tRNA from 1 species
UUUAAUAUGGCAGAUUAGGGCAAUGAAUUUAAACUUCAUAUAUAAAGAUUUUUAAAUGCUUUUAUUAAAA